rnacentral:rRNA from 1 species
UCCAUCCUACGGGAGGCAGCAGUGAGGAAUAUUGGUCAAUGGCCGGGAGGCUGAACCAGCCAAGUCGCGUGAGGGAAGACGGCCCUACGGGUUGUAAACCUCUUUUGUCAGGGAGCAAGAGGCGGGUCGAGACCUGCUGUGGGAGUACCUGAAGAAAAAGCAUCGGCUAAAUCCGUGCCAGCAGCCGCGGGAAUACGGAGGAUGCGAGCGUUAUCCGGAUUUAUUGGGUUUAAAGGGUGCGCAGGCGGAGGCACAAGUCAGCGGGAAAAUCGCGGG